AGCUGCUGCCACCUCUCGCUCCUCUCCCUCUUCCCUCUCUUCUCCCUCUUCUUCUCCUUCUCUUCUUCUCCUCUUCCCUUUUCCUCCCCAACGCCACACACCUCCUCGCUGCAGCCUUGCCGCAGCUAUCCUCCUCUCUUCCUCUUCUUCUUCUUCUUCUUCUCCCUCUUCUUCCUCUCUUCUUCUCCCCACACCCCACCGCUCCUCGCUGCAGCCCUUGCCGUAGCCACCUCCUCUUUUCUUCUUCUUCUUUUUCUGCUUCUCUUCUUCUCCUCUUCUC
rnacentral:lncRNA from 1 species